rnacentral:rRNA from 1 species
UACGUAGGGGGCAAGCGUUGUCCGGAUUUAUUGGGCGUAAAGAGCGUGUAGGCGGCCAGGUAGGUCAGCUGUGAAAACUCGAGGCUCAACCUCGAGACGUCGGUUGAAACCACCUGGCUAGAGUCCGGAAGAGGAGAAUGGAAUUCCCGGUGUAGCGGUGAAAUGCGCAGAUAUCGGGAAGAACACCCGUGGCGAAGGCGGUUCUCUGGGACGGUACUGACGCUGAGACGCGAAAGCGUGGGGAGCGAACAGG